rnacentral:rRNA from 1 species
UACGGAGGGGGCUAGCGUUGUUCGGAAUUACUGGGCGUAAAGCGCACGUAGGCGGAUUCUUAAGUCAGAGGUGAAAGCCCGGAGCUCAACCCCGGAACUGCCUUGGAUACUGGGAGUCUCGAGGAUGGAAGAGGUCAGUGGAAUGCCGAGUGUAGAGGUGAAAUUCGUAGAUAUUCGGCGGAACACCAGUGGCGAAGGCGACUGGCUGGUCCAUUUCUGACGAUGAGGUGCGAAAGUGUGGGGAGCAAACAGG